UCAGCAGCCGCGGUAAUACGGAAGGUCCGGGCGUUAUCCGGAUUUAUUGGGUUUAAAGGGAGCGUAGGCCGGAGAUUAAGUGUGUUGUGAAAUGUAGACGCUCAACGUCUGACUUGCAGCGCAUACUGGUUUCCUUGAGUACGCACAACGUUGGCGGAAUUCGUCGUGUAGCGGUGAAAUGCUUAGAUAUGACGAAGAACUCCGAUUGCGAAGGCAGCUGACGGGAGCGCAACUGACGCUUAAGCUCGAAGGUGCGGGUAUCGAACAGGAUUAGAUACCCUGGUAGUCCGCACAGUAAACGAUGGAUGCCCGCUGUUGGUACCUGGUAUCAGCGGCUAAGCGAAAGCAUUAAGCAUCCCACCUGGGGAGUACGCCGGCAACGGUGAAACUCAAAGGAAUUGACGGGGGCCCGCACAAGCGGAGGAACAUGUGGUUUAAUUCGAUGAUACGCGAGGAACCUUACCCGGGCUUGAAUUGCAGAGGAAGGAUUUAGAGAUAAAGACACCCUUCGGGGCCUCUGUGAAGGUGCUGCAUGGUUGUCGUCAGCUCGUGCCGUGAGGUGUCGGCUUAAGUGCCAUAACGAGCGCAACCCCUUUUCUUAGUUGCCAUCAGGUAAUGCUGGGCACUCUGGGAACACUGCCACCGCAAGGUGUGAGGAAGGUGGGGAUGACGUCAAAUCAGCACGGCCCUUACGUCCGGGGCUACACACGUGUUACAAUGGCCGGUACAGAGGGAUGGUGUAAUGCAAAUUGCAUCAAAUCUUAAAAGCCGGUCCCAGUUCGGACUGAGGUCUGCAAUCCGACCUCACGAAGCUGGAUUCGCUAGUAAUCGCGCAUCAGCCAUGGCGCGGUGAAUACGUUCCCGGGCCUUGUACACACCGCCCGUCAAGCCAUGAAAGCCGGGGGUGCCUGAAGUUCGUAACCGUAAGGAGCGACCUAGGGCAAAACUGGUAAUUGGGGCUAAGUCGUAACAAGGUAGCCGU
rnacentral:rRNA from 1 species